rnacentral:rRNA from 1 species
GACGAACGCUGGCGGCGUGCUUAACACAUGCAAGUCGAACGGAAAGGCCCUGCUUUUGUGGGGUGCUCGAGUGGCGAACGGGUGAGUAACACGUGAGUAACCUGCCCUUGACUUUGGGAUAACUUCAGGAAACUGGGGCUAAUACCGGAUAGGAGCUCCUGCUGCAUGGUGGGGGUUGGAAAGUUUCGGCGGUUGGGGAUGGACUCGCGGCUUAUCAGCUUGUUGGUGGGGUAGUGGCUUACCAAGGCUUUGACGGGUAGCCGGCCUGAGAGGGUGACCGGCCACAUUGGGACUGAGAUACGGCCCAGACUCCUACGGGAGGCAGCCGUGGGGAAUAUUGCACAAUGGGCGGAAGCCUGAUGCAGCAACGCCGCGUGCGGGAUGACGGCCUUCGGGUUGUAAACCGCUUUCGCCUGUGACGAAGCGUGAGUGACGGUAAUGGGUAAAGAAGCACCGGCUAACUACGUG